rnacentral:pre_miRNA from 1 species
GGUGGGUGUGCCUGAAAUUUGGCUCAGGCCUAGCUAAGACGAAGGUGAGCAAAGUUUCAGGUGUAUUCACUU